rnacentral:rRNA from 1 species
CCUCUUGAUUAAACCAUAAGAGGUCCAGCCUGCCCAGUGACAUUGUUCAACGGCCGCGGUAUCCUAACCGUGCGAAGGUAGCGUAAUCACUUGUCCUUUAAAUGAAGACUAGUAUGAAUGGCCCCACGAAAGCUAUACUGUCUCCUUUUUCUAAUCAGUUAAACUAAUCUCCCCGUGAAGAAGCGGGGAUAAACAUAUAAGACGAGAAGACCCUAUGGAGCUUUAAACAACUGAAACAUUUGUAUACCUCCCUUCACCUACCCACAUUUAACUCCACAUCUUGUUUCUAGUUUUAGGUUGGGGUGACCACGGAGAAAAAACUAACCUCCACGAUGAAAGAGACAUCUCUAAACAAAAAGCUACAUCUUUAUGUAUUAAUACAUUAACCUUUAUUGACCCA